rnacentral:rRNA from 1 species
UACGGAGGGUGCAAGCGUUGUCCGGAUUUAUUGGGUUUAAAGGGUGCGUAGGCGGCUCUUUAAGUCAGUGGUGAAAGCCGACAGCUUAACUGUCGAAAUGCCAUUGAUACUGGGGAGCUUGAGUACAGUAGAGGUAGGCGGAAUUAAUGGUGUAGCGGUGAAAUGCAUAGAUAUCAGGAGGAACACCUGCGGUGUAGACGGCUUUCUGGACCAUUGCUGACGCUGAGACACGAAAGCGUGGGUAGCAAACAGG